rnacentral:tRNA from 1 species
AUGACAUUAGCUCAAUUGGGAGAGCAACAGAGUAGAGUCUGUGGGUUAUGGGUUCAAAUCCCAUAUGUCAUU